rnacentral:rRNA from 1 species
AGAGUUUGAUCCUGGCUCAGAUUGAACGCUGGCGGCAUGCUUUACACAUGCAAGUCGAACGGCAGCAUGGGUGCUUGCACCUGAUGGCGAGUGGCGAACGGGUGAGUAAUAUAUCGGAACAUGUCCGGAAGUGGGGGAUAACGUAGCGAAAGUUACGCUAAUACCGCAUAUGCCCUGAGGGGGAAAGGAGGGGAUCGUAAGACCUUUCGCUUUCGGAGUGGCCGAUAUCAGAUUAGCUUGUUGGUGAGGUAAAGGCUCACCAAGGCGACGAUCUGUAGCUGGUCUGAGAGGACGACCAGCCACACUGGGACUGAGACACGGCCCAGACUCCUACGGGAGGCAGCAGUGGGGAAUUUUGGACAAUGGGCGCAAGCCUGAUCCAGCCAUGCCGCGUGAGUGAAGAAGGCCUUCGGGUUGUAAAGCUCUUUCAGCCGGAAAGAAAUCGUGCAACCUAAUACGUUGUAUGGAUGACGGUACCGGAAGAAGAAGCACCGGCUAACUACGUGCCAGCAGCCGCGGUAAUAC